UAUGUGUGAACUUCCGCAUGUAAUUGUUUUUUGUAUUUCUCAUGCUUUGAUUCACAAUUAGCUUGGCAACGUACAUCAAUCAAGGUAUGUUACUAAUUUUUGGUUCUGUUUUGAAUAUAUCAAUAUCCAACUCAAAUAAUGACUUCGUGUACUGUUUUCCUUUUUCUUUUUAUGUUCUGUUUCAGGAGCACAGACAUUCAACUCUAUAGAGAGUAUGCAAUUAAUAGGUAUACAUAAGCUUCUUUGUUCAUUUCAAAAUAAGUAUUACAAUUGCUUUAAUGCGUAUGGGUUCCAGAGGUAUAAAUUAGAUGUGUGUAUGGAUGGUAGGUAAAUUUCAUGCAGUUAUGCACUCAAAGAAUGACUUCAUGUACUGUUUUCCUUUUUCUUUUUAUGUUCUGUUUCAGGAGCAUAGACAUUGAACUCUACAGAGAGUAUGCAAUUAAUAGGUAUACAUAAGCUUCUUUGUUCAUUUGAAAAUAAGUAUUACGAUUGCUUUAAUGCGUAUGGGUUCCAGAGGUAUAAACUAGAUGUGUGUAUGGAUGGUAG
rnacentral:lncRNA from 1 species